rnacentral:lncRNA from 1 species
CUGGGGUGGACUCCUGAGGCUUGCAGCCACGCGGAGCUCGCUGCCGCUGUUGUAAGCUGAUUGUCAUUGUCAGCACGUUCUUCCUUCUAGAAUCCACCAGUUGAGCCUGAGGGGAGACUGGUUUGUGUCCUAGAAGAACCGGGUGCCUUCGCCCUAACCAUCAAGGUCGGCGUUACUUGAGGCGUUCUGAGCCCUUCAGCCUUCCCGUGCCAGCUGUGCAGUGAUGGCGUCCCCUGGUGUCCCAGGAAAGAGGUGCAGCUGCCGUAAGUGCAGCUCUUUUAAGGCAGAGAGAAGUAUUUCUGCCCCCCCAAUUCCCAAAUUUACUCCUCCUUGGACCAGCCAGUCCACUUACCUCCACUCAUUUAGGCGUUUGUUCUUCAUUUUAUUCAUUCAUCUGUUUGUUCAUUCAAGCACCCGCUGCGUUCCGGGUACCGAGUUUGACCCUGGAAGUACACAGAUAGAUCCUGCCCAGGCUUUAGCAUCAAGGAGCCCUCAGGCUGAUGGAGGCACAGGCUCUCAUACCACAGCAGGAUCUCCGCCUCCUGAAGGGACUGAGCUCUUCCCUCUGGACCUGCAGAGGAAGAAAAACUGCUUUGUGUGAGCCCAGACUCCCUAACUCCAAGAACAGUGCAAUUUUCCCAAUCCCAUAUUGAAUCGAGAACUGCAUUUGCCAGGAUGGGCAGCUCAGUUAAGACAUCCCUUCAGAAUACCAACUCCUUCCGCUCUCAUUCCAUUCCUCCAAGGAACCUCUGACCUGUCAAUUAUCCCCCAAAAAUCUGUUAUCCCCCAAUGCACUAUUCAGAACUCUUUCACUCUUUGUUCCUUCCUUCAUUUAAAAGUAACUUUGCUUUCUUUCACUUAGUGUGGCAGAAAAACAAAUACUGCAUGCUCUCAUUUAUACAUGGAAUCUGAAGUAGUCAAACUCACAGAAGCAGAGAUUAGAACAGUGGUUCCUAGGCAGUAAGGGGAGGGGAAAAGCAGGGAGAUGUCAGUCAAAGGGUACAAAGUUUCAGUUAUGCAGGAUGAAUAAGUUCUAGAGAUCUAAUGUGCAGCAACAAUGUGACUGUAGAUAACAAUGUGGAUUGUAUACUUGAAAUGUGCAAACAUUAGCUUGACUGUGGUGGUUAUUUCACAAUAUAUACCUAUAUCAAAUCAUCACAUUGUACCCCUCAAAUACGUACAAUUUUAAUUGUCAAUUAUAUGUCAGUAAAGUUGGGUAGGGGGAACUUUGAAUUACAGCCCAGGAGUUGCAAUAGACUGAUGUUCUAGGCUAUGACCUUCCAUCCUUCUAUCCAUCUCCUCUCCUUUCCAUCCAUCCGUUCUUCCUUUCAUCUAUCCUUGCACCUAUCCAACUACACAUCCAUUCUCUUAUUCAUGUCAUCCACUCACUAAUUAUAGAAUUACCUGAGUGCCCAC